CCUUGGGAUAUCCAGUGUAGUACCUGUAAUUAUAAGUUUAGUAUACGCUUACACCUUACACAUGUAUUACACCUUACAUUCUCUUUUCCCUUUUCCCUUCCAUUCUCUGCAUGUACACUUAUGCUCUCUCUUUUUAUUAUUUUGUUUCUCAACAGGUACUGAAAAUUCUCGUAUUUGGUUGAGAUCUAAACUAGGCAUAAGGCAUAAGGCAUUUUGAAGUCUUUUACCAGAAUCCGCUCGACCGCAUCAUCAAUCCGAGACAUAGGUACCUCCCCUGUCUCCACCAAGAACACUAGAUCCUCAAGAAACUCCUCAAAUCUGUAAGGUAGUGGAAAUGGAUCCUACGGACAACCAAGACGAGUUAAUGCACGAGCUCAUUCGUGGUAGUACUGGGCACAUAGCUCCAGAGUUUGAUGAGGACGAGAACGAUGGCAGCCAAUUUUUAAACUUGCAUUAUCAUGGCGACGAGGAGCAAGAUAUUAGUGGGGAGGAAGAAGGAAAUGUCGAGGAAGCCGAGGUAUAAAAGUUUAGUGAUUCUUUCAGGCAUCAGGAUAAACGUUUUGUCAAUAUAUAUGUUAGGAGCAAGAUAUUGUUUGUGACACAUGCGACCCAGCUGCGAACUAUUUGUGUUAUGUUGCUAGCUUUGUUGAUGAUUUCAGUCCUUGUGUAAGGAGUCGUGCUCCAGCUAAAAAUUCUUAUGAAUGUUUCAGUCAA